rnacentral:misc_RNA from 1 species
GUUUACUCCUCACCUAAAGGGUAUACUGGCACGAGUAGUGCCCAUUCUUGGAAAUGUGAGGGACAUCCACCGGCCAAUUUUUGCAAAUGCAUUCAAAUGUUGGUGCCAAUCUUGCUGGCAGUGCAGUGUAGACUUCCCUCUGUCUUCAGUUGUAGAUGCUGAUAUCAUGUCUUUCUUGAAUUCCGCAUUUGAACUAUUAUUGAGAGUUUGGGCAAUUUCACGGGAUCUGAAGGUUCGCUUAUCUUCUGUGGAAGCAUUAGGGCAGAUGGUUGGUCUUAUUACUAGGACACAGCUGAAGGCAGCUUUGCCAAGACUUAUUCCAACUAUAUUGGAAC